CGUCAUAGAAUGGUUCCAUGACGACGUUGAUGGUUCCCUAUCAGUCGCUGACAGAACUUGGUUGUGUUCAGACGUACACGUGUUGGUCUUACAAAACUUCACAUUAGUUGCUGGCCUGUGUCUACUUGCACAAGUCUACACUUCAUCUCAGUAUUAGAUAAAGAUGUAUCCACCAGAACGGCGGAAGUGUAGAAAACUACUCUCCCCCGUACUCGAGGCGGACGAGCGUGAAUCUAACCUUCCAAGUCCAAGAACACCAGACGAUCAUCAAGAUUUACUUGUUCAAUACAUGGACCUGAAAUCCCAAGUCGGAGAUUUUGAGGAAAG
rnacentral:lncRNA from 1 species